AAUUCGAUGCAAUGCGCAGAACCUUACCUGGCCUUGACAUGUCGAGAACUUAGCAGAGAUGCUUUGGUGCCUUCGGGAACUCGAACACAGGUGCUGCAUGGCUGUCGUCAGCUCGUGUCGUGAGAUGUUGGGUUAAGUCCCGCAACGAGCGCAACCCUUGCCAUUAGUUGCUACGAAAGGGCACUCUAAUGGGACUGCCGGUGACAAACCGGAGGAAGGUGGGGAUGACGUCAAGUCCUCAUGGCCCUUAUAGGUGGGGCUACACACGUCAUACAAUGGCUGGUACAGAGGGUUGCCAACCCGCGAGGGGGAGCUAAUCCCAUAAAGCCAGUCGUAGUCCGGAUCGCAGUCUGCAACUCGACUGCGUGAAGUCGGAAUCGCUAGUAAUCGCGGAUCAGAAUGUCGCGGUGAAUACGUUCCCGGGUCUUGUACACACCGCCCGUCACACCAUGGGAGUUGGUUUUACCUGAAGACGGUGCGCUAACCGAAAGGGGGCAGCCGGCCACGGUA
rnacentral:rRNA from 1 species